rnacentral:lncRNA from 1 species
CUGACUGACCUGCUGCUUCCCUGCGUGUCCUCCUCCCCACAGGGCAUGGCAUGCCCCCUGUUCCUACAAACUGCUUUUUAGCACGUAACAAAACCAUCAUGGCAUUCCCAGUACUUAUGUGAGCACUGACAUUGCGCCAGUCCUGCGCUGGGUGCUGGAGCACAACCGUCUCAUUCAGGCUCACCGACACCCGUGGAGGACAGCAGAAUCCUUACCAGAAAGUGAGACUGGAACGCAGAGCCUUCCCAGAGGACACAAACACAAAGCCUUCCUUCAAACAGCAAACAUAACUGACGCAGAAGCUGCGUGUCUGCCGCGUCCUGAGGCACACCUCCGCUCAGCCAGGCAUCUCGACCUCCCAGUCUGACAGCUCCAGAUAACAGCAUGCGGAACUGCCACCAGUGCAACCAAGUAGCCUGAAGAAACACAUGUCCCCGCGAAGAACGCCCACACAUACCCCAUCAAUGAUUCACUCCGUGUAGCCUAAGAAUAAUUUAAUUAUACAAUUAUGGGGUUUUAUCCA